rnacentral:rRNA from 1 species
UUAGAUUAUAUUUAUUAAUUUUGUUUAUUUACAUUUAAAAUAUUAAAAAUAAUUAUAAAAUAAAAUGUUUUAGUAUUGUUUAAAGAAAAAAUAAAUUUAAUAAUAGUUUAAUAGUAUUGUAAAAGAAAAUUGAAAUAAUUUGAAAAAUUUUUUAUUAUAAAAGAAAAUUUAAUUUAUUGUACCUU